rnacentral:rRNA from 1 species
CCUACGGGACGCACCAGUGGGGAAUAUUGCACAAUGGGCGCAAGCCUGAUGCAGCCAUGCCGCGUGUAUGAAGAAGGCCCUCGGGUUGUAAAGUACUUUCAGCGGGGAGGAAGGGAGUAAAGUUAAUACCUUUGCUCAUUGACGUUACCCGCAGAAGAAGCACCGGCUAACUCCGUGCCAGCAGCCGCGGUAAUACGGAGGGUGCAAGCGUUAAUCGGAAUUACUGGGCGUAAAGCGCACGCAGGCGGUCUGUCAAGUCGGAUGUGAAGUCCCCGGGCUCAACCUGGGAACUGCAUUCGAAACUGGCAGGCUAGAGUCUUGUAGAGGGGGGUAGAAUUCCAGGUGUAGCGGUGAGAUGCGUAGAGAUCUGGAGGAAUACCGGUGGCGAAGGCGGCCCCCUGGACAAAGACUGACGCUCAGGUGCGAAAGCGUGGGGGGCAAACAGGAUUAGAUACCCCUGUAGUC